UACGGAGGAUGCAAGCGUUAUCCGGAAUUACUGGGCGUAAAGGGUGCGUAGGUGGUUUCUUAAGUCAGAGGUGAAAGGCUACGGCUCAACCGUAGUAAGCCUUUGAAACUGGGAAACUUGAGUGCAGGAGAGGAGAGUGGAAUUCCUAGUGUAGCGGUGAAAUGCGUAGAUAUUAGGAGGAACACCAGUUGCGAAGGCGGCUCUCUGGACUGUAACUGACACUGAGGCACGAAAGCGUGGGGAGCAAACAGGAUUAGAUACCCUGGUAGUCCCU
rnacentral:rRNA from 1 species